GUCUGAAAACAAGGGACAGGAUAAGGAGGAUACCUAGCCAUUUUUUUGCGCGAGUGUUGCAAAAUAGAUUCAAAAAAUGUAUGUAAUUCAAUUAUUGCACCCACACUGCUCACGCACGUCAACGAGCGUCUGCGUUGCCAAGGGGAAAAAAAUAGGAGUCAUUCCUAUUUCUGACGCAGACGCGCUGCAAGUCCUGGGGAGACAAAAUACAUUUAUGCACGAUGGCGCCCCUGCGCAGCCGGUUUGGUUCCCGUGUCACCCAAUAGGUUUAGCUUCCCCACCCGCCAUUUUUAAAAAGACCCAACGGAGGUCAUCGCCUUCUUGAAUCAUGCAGAGGUGGGCAUCAUGAAGGCCUCGUCAUUGAUUUUGUUGAAAGGGGAGAAAUUGCGCUUUACAAAUGGUAUUGAUAUUACAGCUGAUCUGGAAGUAUUACGUUUUUUGGGCGCUAAAAUAAGGUCAAUUGUAUGGACCAGCGCGACGUAAAAAACCUCCAUAUAGGAGAUCCGCUGAGCAGCCCUGAUCUUUGGCACCUUGACCUCCUUCACCCGAACAGGGCACUCAAGGAAGUCCGGAGCCCUGGGCCUGGAUGACAUUAAGACCCACCACUGGUGUAUCAUCGGCUGCAGUGCUGUGACUGGAGAGAACCUACUGACUGGAGUAGACUGGCUACUGGAUGACAUCGCUGCACGCGUCUUCACUGCAGAUUAACAUCCUGGGUGUGCAUUAAUAAAACGCAUCUGAAGAAGCUUCAGUGUUUCUCAACCUC